rnacentral:rRNA from 1 species
UACGUAGGGUGCAAGCGUUGUCCGGAAUUAUUGGGCGUAAAGAGCUCGUAGGCGGUUUGUUGCGUCGGCUGUGAAAUCCCGAGGCUCAACCUCGGGUCUGCAGUCGAUACGAGCAAACUAGAGUGUUGCAGGGGAGACUGGAAUUCCUGGUGUAGCGGUGAAAUGCGCAGAUAUCAGGAGGAACACCGGUGGCGAAGGCGGGUCUCUGGGCAACAACUGACGCUGGAGGAGCCGAAAGCGUGGGGAGCGAACAGG